CCCGAGGGCGAAGGAGGGAGUCGAGGUUCGGCGGUGAUUACAAAGAUUUGUCGUUGGUUUAUCGUUCUCUUUCCAUGUAUUUGGGUAAAAAUUGGAUUUUGGCGGAAAAGAAAAGAUUCGUUCUUGGUUUGCUGAAUGCUACAGGAUGUUUCGUGUGGAAUCUGUACAAGAAAUACUCUUUUUGUUCACGUUAUUUUUUCUCUUCGGAAUGUGUUGCAACCGAGCGGAGAUUAAAGCUCGGCUGGUCGGCGCUGGUGCUUGGUUUGUUUAUUUGUGCAUAUGAGAACAUAUCUCGAUGAAGAAAUACAAAUGUAAGAUCAGAACAACUAACAUCCCUUCCAUCCAAUCUCGACGAGCCAGAGUUCAACUCUUUCGAACGGGAAGCAAAGGAAGCAGACUAUCAGACUCAUUUGGAUUUCUCAUUUGUGGCACUCUCUGUAGCUUCACCUGAGAUGGUCCUCUGUGAACAAAGAAGACAGCUCAGCUCCCGGAGCUUCAAAACAUCCAUCUUGUCAUCCAUUUCUAGGUAGAGCAGCAGAUAAAUGGUGUGUUCUUCAACUUCUUUGGAUUUGAUGGAACAUAUGGAAUGUGCGGGAUCAAAGCUGUGGAGGACUCCAGUGGCAGGCUUGAGAGGACCACUGUUGAGGACAUGGACAUGGCAGUCCGAGCUGAUGCAAAUAGUACAAGUUCAUCCUUGAAUUCAUCUUUUUGAUGGGCUUCACUCUGUAAACUCAUUAUUGGCAAAGUAUGUUUUAACAUUCUGAUGUCAUCAAGAAUAGAAAAGGAAAAUUGUGUACUGCCUCUUAAAUUCUUCUGCCCUGAUAGAGAGUGUGAAGAAUGUUGA